rnacentral:rRNA from 1 species
UACGGAGGGUGCAAGCGUUAUCCGGAUUCACUGGGUUUAAAGGGUGCGUAGGAGGGCAGGUAAGUCAGUGGUGAAAUCUUCGAGCUUAACUCGGAAACUGCCGUUGAUACUAUCUGUCUUGAAUACCGUGGAGGUGAGCGGAAUAUGUCAUGUAGCGGUGAAAUGCUUAGAUAUGACAUAGAACACCAAUUGCGAAGGCA